rnacentral:rRNA from 1 species
GACGAACGCUUGCGGCGUGCUCAACACAUGCAAGUCGAACGGAAAGGCCCUGCUUGGGUGGGGCGCUCGAGUGGCGAACGUGUGAGUAACACGUGAGUAACCUGCUCUUGACUUUGGUAUAACUGCAGGAAACUGGGGCGAAUACCGGAUGGGAGCUCCUGCUUCAUGGUGAGGGUAGGAAAGUUCGGGCGGUUGGGGAUGGACUCCCGGAUUAGCAGCUUGUUGGUGGGGUAGUGGCUUACCAAGGCUUUGACGGGUAGCCGGCCUGAGAGGGUGAACGACCCAAUUGGGACUGGGAUAGGGCCCAGAGUCCAACGGGAGGCAGAGGUGGGGAAUCUGCAGCAACGGGAGGACGCCUAUUGAGGCAACGCCGGGCGCGGAACGCCGCCCUUAGGGUUGACAACCGUUUUGCCCGGAAACGAAGCGUGCGUGACGGUAACGAGUAAAGAAGCACCGGCUAACUACGUG